rnacentral:rRNA from 1 species
GAUGAACGCUGGCGGCGUGCCUAAUACAUGCAAGUCGAGCGAACAGACGAGGAGCUUGCUCCUCUGACGUUAGCGGCGGACGGGUGAGUAACACGUGGAUAACCUACCUAUAAGACUGGGAUAACUUCGGGAAACCGGAGCUAAUACCGGAUAAUAUAUUGAACCGCAUGGUUCAAUAGUGAAAGACGGUUUUGCUGUCACUUAUAGAUGGAUCCGCGCCGCAUUAGCUAGUUGGUAAGGUAACGGCUUACCAAGGCAACGAUGCGUAGCCGACCUGAGAGGGUUCGGGGACACAGGGAAACAGACACGCGCUCGAGUCCCCUGGGGGGGGCAGAAUGGGGAAAUUUUCCGAAGGGCGCAAGACCGUCGGAGAAAAGCGCCGCGAGAGAUGUAAGGCUCUUGGUAUCAAAAAUCUCUUUUAUUGGAAAAAAACAAGUGUAAAAGAAAAUGCGCGUGUUGAGGGGGUACCAAAAGAGAGAGCCGGGUCAAACCACG